GUAGUCGUUCUGUUUGGACACUCUUCAUACUCCAUCGUAGGAGGAAUAUGUAAAUGUGAGAUUGAACUGCUCCUCCAUCAUUUCCCCGUCUCCACUGGACACUAGAUGUUAGAUUCUCCUCGAGGGAUAUCUGCCCCAUUUGGACUGACAUUCAUCCUCUCUCAGGUUCAAGUGAAACACAGACAAAAGCUGUGAACCAUCUAUUGUUAAAGAAUUUUUAAAAGGGUAAAAAAAGAGGAUGGGGAAAGCCACUCAACAAAACUAGGCCAUCCAUUAUCUGAGUCCAACAAUGCUUGUAAUGUAACUUCUAAGUCUUAACUUGGGUGGAACAUUGAGAUGUCAAGAAUCUUGCCUAGGAACUGCAGCCAUUGUGAAUGGAAGAGCGGUACAAGAGGGCAGCACUUUGGGGUCUGUAUCACAUCAAGGAAGUCCACCUGACAUUCAAAUUUCAGAAGCACAGCUACCCAGUCCUGAAUAGGAACAAACUGAGAAGGACUCAUGGCAAACUGCUUCCAGACAGGAGGAGCACCGUCCAAAAGCUUAGCUCGGAAACCUCUGAAAAGGGUUGUUGUGCACAAGAGAACUGGAGAAUGUUCAGCUGA